rnacentral:rRNA from 1 species
CUACGGGGCGCAGCAGUCGAGGAAAUUUUACAAUGCUCGCAGGAGUGAUAAAAUAAACCAAAGUGUUUCUCCUAGAGAAACUUUUAUUUGCUGUAAAAAGGCAGAUGAAUAAGGACUGGGCAAGACCGGUGCCAGCCGCCGCGGUAAUACCGGCGGUCCAAGUCGCAUCCACAUUUAUUGAGUCUAAAACAUUCGUAGCUUGUUUUGUAAGUCUCUUGUGAAAUCUUAUAUCUUAAGUGUAAGGCGUGCAAGAGGUACUGCAUUACUAGAGACCGGAAGACGCAAAAAGUAUGGUUGAGGUAGCGGUAAAAUGUGUUAAUCUCAAUUAGACUAACAAUGGCGAAGGCAUUUUGCGAGUACGGAUCUGACAGUGAGGAAUGAAGGCUAGGGGCGCAAAAGGGAUUAGAUACCCGGGUAGUC